rnacentral:rRNA from 1 species
GACGAACGCUGGCGGCGUGCCUAAUACAUGCAAGUAGGACGCAGUUGCGAACGGGUGAGUAACGCGUAGGUAACUACCUAUUAGAGGGGGAUAACUAUUGGAAACGAUAGCUAAUACCGCAUACUAGUAGAUGGAUCUGCGUGGUAUUAGCUAGUAGGUAGGGUAAUGGGCUACCUAGGCAACGAUAGAUAGCCGGCCUGGCAGGGUGGACGGGGACACUGGGAAUGAGGGACGGCCCAGACUCCUAAGAGAGGCAGCAGUAGGGAAUCGUCGGGAAUGGGGGGAACGCUGACCGGGCGACGCCGGGUAAGUGGAGAAGGUUGUCAGGGCGUAAAGCUCUGUUGUUAAGGAAGCGGUACUUAACCAGAAAGGGACGGCUAACUACGUGCCAGCAGCCGCGGUAAUAC